CAAGGUCCGUAGUCGAGAGGGAAACAGCCCGGACCGCCGGCCAAGGCCCCAAAGCCAUGCUGAGUGUGAAAUGAGGUGCGGAUGCGCAGACAGCCAGGAGGUUGGCUCAGAAGCAGCCAUUCCUUGAAAGAGUGCGUAACAGCUCACUGGUCGAGCAUCCGCGCGCAGACAAUGUAGCGGGGCUAAGCAUGGCGCCGAAGCCGCGGAUUCGCGCCGUAUGGCGCGACUGGUAGGGGAGCAUUCCGCUGACCCAUGAAGGCGCGCCCGCGAGGGGCGCUGGAGGAGGCGGAAGAGAGAAUGCAGGCAUAAGUAACGAAAAGACGGGUGCGAUCCCCGUCCGCCGGAAGCCCGAGGUUUCCAGGGUAAAGGCAAUCUGCCCUGGGUAAGCCGGCCCCUAAGGCGAGGGCGAAAGCCGUAGCCGAUGGGAAAUCGGUCCAUAGUCCGAUGCUUCCCCAUGUUUCGAGGGCAGGACGCAUGAGGCGAGGCCAGGCCGGAGAACGGUAGUUCCGGCCGGAGCGGCGAGGCGUCGAGGGCGGCAGGCAAAUCCACCGCCCGAGCCGAGCCGUGAGCGAGCGGGAGAGAAAGUCGAAGCGAAGCUGGCGCAGCCAUGGUGCCGGGAAAUACUGUCUAAGGCCAGGCAUGGGGGGAACCGUACCGCAAACCGACACAGGUGGGCAGGAUGAGAAAUCCGAGGCGCACGAGCGACCUCGCGUUAAGGAACUCGGCAAAAUGCGCACGUAACUUCGGGAGAAGUGCGGCUCAUGUUAGAGAUGAUAAUGAGCGGCAGAAAGCAGGCCCAGGCGACUGUUUAUCAAAAACACAGCCAUCUGCU
rnacentral:rRNA from 1 species